rnacentral:rRNA from 1 species
AGGACGAACGCUGGCGGCGUGCCUAACACAUGCAAGUCGAACGAGGUCCAACCGGUGGCAACACUGGUGAAGACCUAGUGGCGAACGGGUGAGUAUCACGUGAGCAACCUGCCCCGAAGACUGGGAUAACACCGGGAAACCGGUGCUAAUACCGGAUACCCCCACCGGAUCGCAUGGUCUGGUGAGGAAAUGAAUUUUGCUUUGGGAGGGACUCGCGGCCUAUCAGCUUGUUGGUGGUGUAACGGACCACCAAGGCUUCGACGGGUAGCUGGUCUGAGAGGACGAUCAGCCACACUGGGACUGAGACACGGCCCAGACUCCUACGGGAGGCAGCAGUGGGGAAUCUUGCGCAAUGGGCGAAAGCCUGACGCAGCAACGCCGCGUGAGGGACGAAGGCCUUCUGGGUUGUAAACCUCUUUCAGCAGGGACGAUGAUGACGGUACCUGCAGAAGAGCCCGGCAACUACGUGCCAGCAGCCGCGGU